rnacentral:rRNA from 1 species
UACAGAGGUCCCAAGCGUUGUUCGGAUUCAUUGGGCGUAAAGGGUGCGUAGGCGGCGCGGUAAGUCGGGUGUGAAAUCUCGGAGCUUAACUCCGAAACUGCAUUCGAUACUGCCGUGCUUGAGGACUGGAGAGGAGACUGGAAUUUACGGUGUAGCGGUGAAAUGCGUAGAUAUCGUAAGGAAGACCAGUGGCGAAGGCGGGUCUCUGGACAGUCCUGACGCUGAGGCACGAAGGUCAGGGGAGCAAACGGG